rnacentral:rRNA from 1 species
UACGGGGGGGGCAAGCGUUGUUCGGAAUUACUGGGCGUAAAGGGCUCGUAGGCGGCCAACUAAGUCCGACGUGAAAUCCCCAGGCUCAACUUGGGAACUGCGUCUGAUACUGGAUGGCUUGAAUUCGGGAGAGGGAUGCAGAAUUCCAGGUGUAGCGGUGAAAUGCGUAGAUAUCUGGAGGAAUACCGGUGGCGAAGGCGGCAUCCUGGACCGAGAUUGACACUGAUGAGCGAAAGCUAGGGGAGCAAACGGG